GGCGGCAUGGCUAAGACAUGCAAGUCGAACGGACCAUAUAAUUGGGUAACCGAAAGUAUGGUUAGUGGCGAAAGGGUGAGGAAUAGAUAGGAACGUACCCUGUGCUCUGGGAUAGCGUCUGAAGCUUCGGCUUCUUCCGAAAGGGGCGGUAAUACCAGAUAAUGUCCUUCGGGACCAAAGAUUUAUCGGCAUUGGAGCGGCCUAUCUCCUAUCAGCUUGUUGGUGAGGUAACGGCUCACCAAGGCAACGACGGGUAGCGGGACUGAGAGGUUGGCCCGCCACAUCGGGACUGAGACACUGCCCGGACCUCCACGGAGGGCUGCAGUAACGGAUAUCGGGCAAUGGGCGAAAGCCUGACCCAGCAAUGCCGCGUGCAGGAUGAAGCCCCUAGGGGUGUAAACUGCUGUCAGGGGUCAGAAAGCUGGUUUCGGCCAGUUGAUCAAGCCCAGAGGAAGUCACGGCUAACUUCGUGCCAGCAGCCGCGGUAAUACGAAGGUGGCAAGCGUUAUUCGGAAUCAUUGGGCUUAAAGGGCACGCAGGCGGAACAGUGUGUGUUGUGUGAAAUCCCCCGGCUUAACCGGGGAAUUGCACAGCAAACUGCUGUUCUUGAGGCAGGUAGGGGUGCAUGGAACUCUUGGUGGAGCGGUGGAAUGCGUAGAUAUCAAGAGGAACGCCAGAGGUGAAGACGGUGCACUGGGCCUGUCCUGACGCUGAGGUGCGAAAGCGUGGGGAGCGAACGGGAUUAGAUACCCCGGAGUCCACGCCGUAAACGAUGUCUACUAGGUCGUGGGUGUUCUGACACAUUCACGGCCGGAGCAAAAGUGUUUAGUAGACCGCCUGGGGGGUACGCCCGCAAGGUUAAAACUCAAAUGAAUUGACGGGGGCUCACACAAGCGGUGGAGCAUGUGGAUUAAUUCGAAGCAACGCGCAGAACCUUACCUGGGUUUGACAUGCUUGUAUGCCUUCUCUGAAAGGAGUUAGGCUGCCUUCGGGUGAAACUUGCACAGGUGCUGCAUGGCUGUCGUCAGCUCGUGUCGUGAGAUGUCGGGUUAAGUCCUGUAACGAGCGAAACCCUUGCCGUUAGUUGCCAGCGAGUAAUGUCGGGGACUCUAACGGGACUGCCGGUGUUAAACCGGAGGAAGGUGGGGAUGACGUCAAGUCCUCAUGGCCUUUAUGCCCAGGGCUUCACACGUGCUACAAUGGCAAUUACAGAGCGACGCGAUACCGCGAGGUGGAGCAAAUCGCAAAAAAAUUGCCUCAGUUCGGAUUGCAGGCUGGCAAUUCGCCUGCAUGAAGUCGGAAUCGCUAGUAAUCGCGUAUCAGCAAUGACGCGGUGAAUGUGUUCCUGAGCUUUGUACACACCGCCCGUCAAGUGAUGGAAGCCGGGAGUACCCGAAGUCGGGUUGCUAACCUUUGGGAGGCGCCUGCCGACGGUAAGUUCGAUGACUGGCACUAAGUCGU
rnacentral:rRNA from 1 species